rnacentral:misc_RNA from 1 species
GUACAUCGCUCGUUGCCGAACGACUGCCGUUGUUGCCUUGAGGUGACGUAUCCCUAGGGUUUCGUCAUCCUCGUGCUACGCCGGCGUCCGUGAGGAAUGC